rnacentral:rRNA from 1 species
CCUACGGGAGGCUGAGUGGGGAAUCAUGGUCAAUGGGCGAAAGCCUGAACCUGCGACGCCGCGUGAGUGAUGAAGGUCGUAAGAUCGUAAAACUCUUUUCAGGGAUCUUAACGCACAGCUGUCAACAACAGCUGUGUCUGACUCUCCCUGGAAGAAGCCCCAGCCAACUCCGUGCCAGCAGCUGCGGUAAUACGUAGGGGGCGAGCGUUAUUCGGAAUUACUGGGUGUAAAGGGUAUGUAGGCGGCCCUUCAAGUCGCGUGUCAAAGUCCAGUGCUCAACGCUGGGUGUGCGCGGGAUACUGACGUGCUUGAGGGCUGGAGAGGUGAGCGGAAUUCCCGGUGUAGUGGUAAAAUACGUAGAGAUCGGGAGGAACACCAGCGGCGCAGGCGGCUCACUAGACAGUUUCUGACGCUAAGAUACGAAAGCGUGGGGAGCAAACA